GACGAACGCUGGCGGCGUGCUUAACACAUGCAAGUCGAACGGAAAGGCCCUGCUUUUGUGGGGUGCUCGAGUGGCGAACGGGUGAGUAACACGUGAGUAACCUGCCCUUGACUUUGGGAUAACUUCAGGAAACUGGGGCUAAUACCGGAUAGGAGCUCCUGCUGCAUGGUGGGGUUUGGAAAGUUUCGGCGGUUGGGGAUGGACUUGCGGCUUAUCAGCUUGUUGGUGGGGUAGUGGCUUACCAAGGCUUUGACGGGUAGCCGGCCUGAGAGGGUGACCGGCCACAUUGGGACUGAGAUACGGCCCAGACUCCUACGGGAGGCAGCAGUGGGGAAUAUUGCACAAUGGGCGGAAGCCUGAUGCAGCGACGCCGCGUGCGGGAUGACGGCCUUCGGGUUGUAAACCGCUUUCGCCUGUGACGAAGCGUGAGUGACGGUAAUGGGUGAAGAAGCACCGGCUAACUACGUG
rnacentral:rRNA from 1 species